rnacentral:lncRNA from 1 species
GUGAUUUUAGAUUUGGGAAGGAGGGCAAAUGCUUUGUUUUUCUGAGAUGCUGCACUUGCAUGGGAAUGGCAAACAUCCCAUGUUGUUCUGUGGUGUGGAUGGAACAGCUGUGUGCCCAGGGCAGGGGGUCUGCAGCAUCCACAGCAUCAUUCAGCACAGCUGAAUGAUUUACCUUCUGUAAAGCUCUGUGACCUGAGGCACUCUGGGACUCCUGAGCUCUGCAGUUGGGGAAGUUAAUCAAUAUAAUUACCGACAAAUGAAGUUGCUCCCGUCCUCUGAGCACAGGUGUGAUGGGCAUUAAGGAACCCCAGGAGCACUUGCUGACCUGUGUUGUAAUCGGGCUUUCCAGGGCAGAGGGCAAGGAGUAAUUAAUGAUGUGGGCUCAUCAUUAAUUGGGAUGAUUGGGAUCAUUUGCAUUGUUACUGUUUGCAAGCAAGGCUCUGGAGCUCCCCAACACACAGUGUGUCCCUGAACUGCUGCUGUGGGCAGCGCUGGCUGUGUGUCAACUGCAGGACAGCCACCAGCUCUCACUGCUCCAGCUGGAUGCUAUCUCCCCAACGAGCUCACAAAAGAAGCCCAAGGAACCAGCCAGCCAAACAGAUAAGGACUGGCCACAGGACCAAGAACCACCACAAGCUGAGGAUCAUCUCCUGUUGGAAGGCAUCAGCGUGGUGAUGGUGAUAGCCUUGCUCAGACCCAAAGCACUGAGGAUGAUUUCCAACACCGAUCAUGGCCUUUUUACUGCCAGAUCAACCAGAAAAUCCUUCCUAGGGGCAGAGUUGUGCCACAGCCACCUUCCUCUAAGGAAGCUCGGCACCGAGAUGGAAGGACCUGGUGAUGUCUUUGGAUUGGGGACAGCAGGUGGGAGCUUUCUAAGCCAGACAAAGGAGACCUGACAAGAAACUGUGGUGAAGGGACGAGCCCAAGGCAAAGGAAUGUCCGGUCACCUCCUCCUCUGGAGCAGGCAGCUGAGAUCUGCAUAGACAGGAGACAUUUUGCAAGACUCAACACCUGGAGCAGUGCUAACCAGGCAAGGACGGGGCUCUGUUGUAUCAAGAUGUUGAUCUC